AGAUUGAACGCUGGCGGCAUGCUUUACACAUGCAAGUCGAACGGUAACAGGCCGCAAGGUGCUGACGAGUGGCGAACGGGUGAGUAAUGCAUCGGAACGUGCCCAGUCGUGGGGGAUAACGCAGCGAAAGCUGUGCUAAUACCGCAUACGAUCUAUGGAUGAAAGCGGGGGACCGAAAGGCCUCGCGCGAUUGGAGCGGCCGAUGUCAGAUUAGCUAGUGGUGGGUAAGCCCACAAGGCGACGAUCUGUAGCUGGUCUGAGAGGACGACCAGCCACACUAGGAACCUGAGACACGGUCCAGACUCCGUACGGGAGGCAGCAGUGGGGAAUUUUGGACAAGUGGGCGCAGCCUGACUCCAGCAAUGCCGCGUGCAGGAAGAGC
rnacentral:rRNA from 1 species